UACGUAGGGGGCAAGCGUUGUCCGGAAUCAUUGGGCGUAAAGCGCGUGUAGGCGGCUCGGUAAGUCCGCUCUGAAAGUCCAGGGCUCAACCCUGGGAUGCGGGUGGAUACUUCCGCGCUCGAGCCUUGGAAAGGAGUCUGGAAUUCUCGGUGUAGCAGUGAAAUGCGUAGAUAUCGAGAGGAACACUAAGGGCGAAGGCAUGACUCUGGACAAGUGCUGACGCUCAUGCACGAAGGCUAGGGUAGCGAACGGG
rnacentral:rRNA from 1 species